GCAAACUUGGUCAUUUAGAGGAAGUAAAAGUCGUAACAAGGUUUCCGUAGGUGAACCUGCGGAAGGAUCAUUACAAAACAAUUGGCCUCACGGCCUACGCUGGAAGAGCCGCGGGGGAUUUUCCCCGGCGGUCUCCGACAGUUAACCCACUGUGAAAACCCUUCUUUGCUUCGGCAGCGCCUCCCCGUCCGCGGGGGGGGUCAGCCUGUCGGCAGCACCCAACCAAAACUCUUUUUUGAAUUUGUAAACCAUACGUCUGAGAACGCAGUCGAAUGACACAUAAAACUUUCAACAACGGAUCUCUUGGUUCCCGCAUCGAUGAAGAACGCAGC
rnacentral:misc_RNA from 1 species